AUGCCACUGGCCAACCAGAGUCCCCUGUUACCAGCCAUGGUCAACCCCACCGUAUUCUUCUACAUUGCCAUCCCUGGUGAGCCCUUGGGCCCCAACUCCUUCGGGCUGUUUGCAGAAAUAAUUCCAAAGACAGCAGAAAUAUGUAGUGCUCUGAGCACUGGAGAGAAAGGAUUUGUUAUAAGGGUUCCUGCUUUUGAAGAAUUAUUCCAGGGUUUAUGUGUCAGGGUAGUGAGUUCACAUGCCAUAAUAGCACUGGUGGCAGGUCCAUCUAUGGGGAGAUAUUUGAUGAGGACUUCAACUUGACGCAUACAGGUCUAGCAUCUUGUCCACAGCAAAUUCUGUACCCAACACAAAUGAUUCCCAGUUCUUCAUCUGCACUGCCAAGACAGAGUGGUUGGAUGGCAAGCAUGUGGUCGUUAGCAAGGUGAAAGAUUGCAUGAAUAUUGUGGAGGCCAUGGAGCGCUCUGAGUCUAGGAAUGGCAAGACCAGCAAGAAGAUCGCCAUUGCUGACUGUGGACAACUCUAAUAA
rnacentral:lncRNA from 1 species